AGAAAAGGCAGAGUCACAGUCCAGAGUGAUCUUGAAAGAACUCCCAUGCAAUAACAGAGAUGGCCGCGGUGAGCAGGAAUGUUGCUGCUUCACUCUUGGGUCUUGGGCCAGGUCUACACUGUGAAGACGAAGGAAGGAACUGAGCAAUUGUUCUGCUAAUCUAACUGCUGAAAGCUGGUGGGGAUGAUUCACAGCACACUGUGUGUGCCUUGGCUGGAAUACCUGGCCUACCCAAGAACCAUCUUCAUGCAAUGGAAACCACUUAGGAGACCUACAGUACAGUCCUGGCAGCUCUGCUCCUGAGGACACUAUUGCAGCAUCCUAGGAAGAUGGGCAAGGAGUAGACUACCAGCUCACUGCCAUGUCAUCACACUGAUGUCCAGGACACUGAAGGAGUGGGAAGAAGAGGAGCUUAAGCGUAGGAAGCUCAGAAGUCUUAACUGUAGAUGGACUCUAGGAGUGGUACACCUCUCUUCCUUGAUCAUUCAAAGACAAGAAUGAAUGAAGUGAUCUGUGCCUGAACCUUUGGUAUCUGGCCUGGCACCAUCCCGCCACAUUGCCACCCGUGCAGUCCUGCUCCUUGCCCUGUACAGGAAGGUGCUGGAGUUGAAUGGCAGUGGGACCUGGGUUUCUCUCCAGUAAUGUACAGAGCCAAGGUCAUAUCCACCCUGUGUGAUGGAGAAGACAGAGGUAUUGAACAAGCAGUCCAAGCUGUGAUGAGUGUUUGAAGAAUCAUUAGAGAUGCUCUGACUCACUAGUUUCCUUUUUUCUACAUCCCAGUCAUCCAAAAAAAUCUGUUUUCAUUAUGCCCAAGAAUUCACAUGCAGUCAAGUUGAUGAGAGCUGUCCACCAUCAACAAUCCUCAAUAUUUAUGAAGAAUGUCAGCUGUUCAUACUUCAGUAUAAAUGAAGGCAUCUUUGUAAUGACCUGCCUGGUGUUUUAGAAUCUUCUUAUCUUCUCCACUGACCCUGACAUGGGGCAAAGAGGAGGGAAUUUAAAAAGUCCUUGCUAACUUGGAUGAGCGCUUGGUCAGUGGAUAACGUCUCUAUCUAGGUGUCAGCACUCCUGGUAUAUUCUGCUCCUCUUUGGACAUAUCAACAGAAAGAAACCUAGAGGUUAACUUGAUCAAGAACCUCAAUGAGUGAUGAUAACAUUUCCUGUGAAGUACAGAGGGUUGCUGUGGGGAGAGUCCCCUGGUAGAAGGAGGUCAUCAACUAAACGUUUCCUUUAUGGAAGGCUGGCCAUUUUCUACCAGUUCUCCCAGACACUUCUAAUUCUUCCUGUUGCUGCCUAUCUUCAACAGAAAAGCAAUUGAUCAUGGAAGCAAGCAGGGGUCUCAGCCAAGAACUUAGAAAGAUAGAGGGAAGGUUAUUUUUCUACCCCUACAUCUCUUUUCCACGUCUCCCCUGUAUGGCAUCCGUUCUUUCCUCUGAAUUGAAGAUGUGGAGGUGUUGACGAAUGAGGAAGAAGAGGCUGGGAUGACUGUUCAAUUGUCUGGCAAUAAAAAUUCCAUGU